UCUUUCAGUGGGAAUAAUUUU
rnacentral:piRNA from 1 species